UACGGGGGGGGGCAAGCGUUGUUCGGAAUUACUGGGCGUAAAGGGCUCGUAGGCGGCCAACUAAGUCGGAUGUGAAAUCCCCAGGCUCAACUUGGGAACUGCAUCCGAUACUGGAUGGCUUGAAUUCGGGAGAGGGAUGCAGAAUUCCAGGUGUAGCGGUGAAAUGCGCAGAUAUCAGGAGGAACACCGAUGGCGAAGGCAGCUCACUGGGACGGUACUGACGCUGAGGCGCGAAAGCGUGGGGAGCAAACAGG
rnacentral:rRNA from 1 species